AUGAGCUAUUUUCAUAUUUUGGAUAUUAACCCCUUGUCAGCUGCAUCAUUUGCAAAUAAUUUCUCCCAUUCCAUAGGUUGUUUGCUCAUUUUGUUUAUGGUUUCCUGUACUGUGCUAAUAAAGCUUUUCCAUUUGACUAGGUCCCAUUUGCUUAUUUCUCCUUUUAUUUCUUUUGCCUAGAGUAACUGAUCUAAGAAAAUAUUGCUAUAAUUUAUGUCCAGGAAUGUUUUGAUUUUCUUCUCUUCUAGGAGUUUGUAAUAUCAGGACUUGUAUUUAGGACUUUAAACCAACUGGAGUUUACUUUUGGAUAGGAUGUGAAGGAGUAUUCUAAUUUCAUUGAUUUAUGUGUAGCUGUCCAGCUUUCCCAGUGGCACUUGUUGAAGAGACUGUCUUUUCUCUAUCGUAUAUUCUUGCCUCCUGUAUCAUAGAUUAGUUGAUAUAGGUGUUUGGGUUUAUUUCUGGGAUCUCUAUUCUAUUCCACUGAUUUCUAUGUCUAAUUUUGUACCAAUACCACAUUGUUUUGAUUACUGUAUCUAUGUUGUACAGUCUUAGGUCUGUUGUGAGUCUUAGGCAUCAAGCUUUGUUCUUUUUUCUCAGAAUCACGUUGGGUCUUUGUGAUUCCAUAUAAAUUUUAAGGGUUAUUUGUUUUAGUUCUGUGAAAGAUAGAAUGGGUAUUUUGAUAAUGAAUGCAUUAACUCUGUGGAUUGUUUUAGAUAGUAUGACCAUUUUAACAAAAUUAAUUCUUCCUAUCCAAGAGUGUAGGAUAGCUUUCCAUUUCUUUGAAUCCUCUUUAGCAUGUUUUAUAGUUUUCAGCUUAUAGAUCUUAAGAAUUCUUGGUUAAGUGUAUUUAUUCCUAGGAUUUUUUUGAACAUUGUUUUAUUUUAUUGAAGUAUAGUUGAUUUACAAUGUUAUGUUAAUUUCUGCUGUACGGCAAGAUGAUUCAGUUAUACAUACAUGUGUGUAUGUGUAUAUAUAUAUAUAUGAAAUACUCCUUUUAAAAAUAUUCCUUUCAAUUAUCAUUUAUUAUAGGAUAUUAAAUAUAGUUCUCUGUGUUGAUUAUCCCUUUCAUGUAUAUUCGCUUACAACUGCUAGCCCCAAAUCCCUACCCUGGUUCCCUCCCCCUUGGCAACCACAAGAUUGUUCUCUAUAUCUGUGAGUCUGCUUCUGUUUUUUAGAAAGGGUCUUUUGUGUUAUUUAUUUAUUUUUUUUUAGAUUCCACAUGUAAGUAAUAGAUUUAAGUCUUUAUGACUUAAAUCACUUAGGAUGAUAAUACCUAGGUCCGCCUAUGUUGCUGAAAAUGGCAUUAUUUCUUUCUUUUUGGCUUAGUGGUAUUCCAUUGUGUAUAACUACCACAUCUUUUUUAUCCAUUCAUUUACCAACGUAUGUUUAGGUUGUCUUGGCUAUUGUGAAUAGAGCUGCAAUGAACAUAAGGGUGCAUGUAUCUUUUUGAAUGAAAGGUUUCUCUGGCUAUAUCCCCAGGAGUGGGAUUGCUGGAUCAUAUGGUAACUUUAUCCUUAGUUUUCUGAGGAAUCUCUGUGCUGCUGUCCAUGAUGGUUGCGCCAGUUUACAUUCCCACCAACAGUGUAAAAGUAUUCCCUUUUCUUCACAACCUUAAGAGAAUAGACCUUAAUUUUUCUCACCAAAGGAGCUGGGGAAAACAGAGAACCAUGUGAGAUGAUGUAUAUGUUAGUUAUCUUGACUGUGAUAAUUAUUUCACUAUGUAUACAUAUUAAAACAUCCUUCAAUAUAUACAAUUUUCUCAAUUAUACUUCAGUAGAACUCAGAAAAGUAAAAAUAGUAGUUCCCAUUGUGGCUCCGUGGUUAAGGACCUGACAUUGUCUCUAUGAGCAUGCAGGUUUGAUCCCUGGCCUUGAUCAGUGGAUUAAGGAUCUGGUGUUGCCACAAGCUGCAGUGUAAGUCAUAGAUGAGCCUUGGAUAUGGUGUUGUCAUGGCUGUAGCAUAGGCCACAGCUGCAGCUCUGAUUUGACCCCUGGCCUGGGAACUUCCACAUAUCACAGGCACAGCUGUAAAAAGAAAAAAACAAACAAAUAAAGUUAUUUCCUCAUGAAUCUUUAAUUGGACAACAUUAUGUCUGGUAUAUUUGCCUCUGUCCUCUAUGGUAUGAGUUGGCCCAAAUGAGGCUGAUAGAUGCUGUUCUAAGUGGCUUACUCACAUGGUAAACAAAUCUUUUAUUGCUGUCACAUGGUAGCUCAGCCAGGGCUGUUGCCUAGAAGCCUAGAUUCUUGCUCACAUGAACCUGUCUGCGGUGCUGCUUUGGCUGUCUCAGAGCAUGGAGACUGAGUUCUAAGAAGGAGAAAGCAGUCUUAGAUGCACUAGUCUUCCUAAAGACGCAGCCUCAACUCAGGUGCAACAUCAUUUCUGCUUAUAUUUUAACUGUCAAAGCAGUCCCAAGCCAGCUAAAGCUCAAGUGGGUGAGGACAUAGACUGCAUUUGAUAAGAGAGUGGCUUGCAUGUGUAGGAAAGGAAUAAAUUGAUACUAGCCAUCUUUGCAUACAAGCCCCCACAUUGUAAUUAAGAGGACAACAGAUUCGAAAGUAGGAAUGAGUGACAUUAGACAUUUUAUUUCUAGUCAGCAUAGUCCACUGUAUUCAUUUCAGGAGAUUUUAUUUUAUUUUAUUUUGUCUUUUUGCCAUUGGGCCGCUCCCGUGGCAUAUGGAGGUUCCCAGGCUAGGGGUCGAAUUGGAGCGAUAGCUGCCAGCCUACUCCAGAGCCACAGCAACGCAGGAUCCGAGCCGCAUCUGCAACCUACACCACAGCUCACGGCAACGCCGGAUCGUUAACCCACUGAGCAAGGCCAGGGAUCGAACCCGCAACCUCAUGGUUCCUAGUCGGAUUCGUUAACCACUGUGCCAUGAUGGGAACUCCCUCAUUUCAGGAGAUUUUAGAAACUCCUUUUCAAUUGUUGACCUAAUCGGUUUUUCCUUUGUAAAUGUUGGUUACUAACGUUUAUUUGAAAUAUAGAGAAGACUGAUGUCAAUCACAAAAGUCUAUCAGACACAGAGGGGGUACUUGAAACCACAGCAUAGCUCUUGAUUAUACUUUCUGAUUUGAUAGUGCUAAGCAAUACCUUAAAAUCUGACUAGCUUUCUGGAUUGUUAUAUUUUUCAAUAGGACUUUAACUAAUAUUAGGUGCUUUUUUUGGGCUAGAGAUUGAAAAAGACUAUUUUGAAAUCACGAUAUAAAAUAAUGACACAGGAAACACAAAAUAGCUGAGUUUGCUCGAUUUUAACUCAGGAUACAAGAAUAAAUGCCUGCAUCCACAAAAGUAAUGUUUUUGCCUAAUUCCUUUAGAGAAUUGCAUCUGAGAGGAUGGUUUCUCUCUAGGCAAGACUAAAAUAACCAUUUUGUGGUGAGGCUACUGCUCUCAGUGUCAACUUGGGUAUUUCAAGCUCAAUGUAAUAUGGUUAGUAGUCUUGAGAGCAUCAUAUCAGAGUUUUUCAACCUUGGCAGUAUUGACAUUUUAGGCUGGAUUAUUUUUGCUAUAGGAGUUUGUUCAGUGCAUUGUAGGAUGAUUAGCAGCAUGUCUGGCCUCUAUCCACUAGAUGCCAAUAGUUUCUCACCAGUCGUGAAACCUAAAAUGCCUCGACAUCGCCAAAUGUUCCCUGGGGUAAAAUUGCCUCCUUUUAAGAACCACUGGGUUUAAUAAAUUUAUAAUUAGAAAAAAUACAUUUCCCUGAGGCAACUUGCCUUAUCUCAGUAGUGUUGUUCUGUCAUCCCUUUCAUAAUUGGAGGUAUCUUCAUGACCUAGAUUUGUCUUCCAUUU
rnacentral:lncRNA from 1 species